UACGUAGGUGGCGAGCGUUGUCCGGAUUUACUGGGCGUAAAGGGAGCGUAGGCGGACUUUUAAGUGAGAUGUGAAAUACUCGGGCUCAACUUGAGUGCUGCAUUUCAAACUGGAAGUCUAGAGUGCAGGAGAGGAGAAUGGAAUUCCUAGUGUAGCGGUGAAAUGCGUAGAGAUUAGGAAGAACACCAGUGGCGAAGGCGAUUCUCUGGACUGUAACUGACGCCGAGGCUCGAAAGCGUGGGGAGCAAACAGG
rnacentral:rRNA from 1 species